UACGUAGGUCCCGAGCGUUGUCCGGAUUUAUUGGGCGUAAAGCGAGCGCAGGUGGUUUAUUAAGUCUGGUGUAAAAGGCAGUGGCUCAACCAUUGUAUGCAUUGGAAACUGGUAGACUUGAGUGCAGGAGAGGAGAGUGGAAUUCCAUGUGUAGCGGUGAAAUGCGUAGAUAUAUGGAGAAACACCGGUGGCGAAAGCGGCUCUCUGGCCUGUAACUGACACUGAGGCUCGAAAGCAUGGGUAGCGAACAGG
rnacentral:rRNA from 1 species